rnacentral:lncRNA from 1 species
UUAGGAUUUAAUUUAGGAUUUAGAAUUUGAUUAGAGUUUGAUUUAGGAUUGAAAUUUGGUUAGGAUUUGGUUUAGGGUUUAGGAUUUGAUUAAGGUUUGAUUUAGGGUUUAGAAUUUGGUUAGGAUUUGAUUUAAGAUUUAAGAUUUGAUUUAAGUUUUAAAGUUUGGUUAAGAUUCGAUUUAGGAUUAAGAUUUGUUUAAAAUUUGAGAUUUAAUUGGUUUUUGGCCUAAAAUUUGAAUGAAGUCCAAUAGGAUUUUAACUAGGAUUAAAUUAAGAUUGAAUUGAGAUCUAUUUGAGAUAUAUUUGUAAUCAUUCUAAUAUUUCUUUAAGAUUUUUUAUUAUUUCUUUGUAAUUCCUUUGAGGUUUCUUUGAAUUUGAUUAAAAU